GAAGAUAUGGCCGAGUGGUUAAGGCGACUGACUCGAAAUCAGUUUCCAUCUUGGAGCGUAGGUUCUAAUCCUACUAUCUGCG
rnacentral:tRNA from 1 species